GAUGAACGCUGGCGGCGUGCCUAAUACAUGCAAGUCGAGCGAACAGACGAGGAGCUUGCUCCUCUGACGUUAGCGGCGGACGGGUGAGUAACACGUGGAUAACCUACCUAUAAGACUGGGAUAACUGCGGGAAACCGGAGCUAAUACCGGAUAAUAUAUUGAACCGCAGGGUUCAAUAGUGAAAGACGGGUUUGCUGUCACUUAUAGAUGGAUCCGCGCCGCAUUAGCUAGUUGGUAAGGUAACGGCUUACCAAGGCAACGAUGCGUAGCCGACCUGAGAGGGUGAUCGGCCACACUGGAACUGAGACACGGUCCAGACUCCUUCGGGAGGCAGCAGUAGGGAAUCUUCCGCAAUGGGCGACAGCCUGACGGAGCAACGCCGCGUGAGUGAUGAAGGUCUUCGGAUCGUAAAACUCUGUUAUUAGGGACGAACAAAUGUGUAAGUAACUAUGCACGUCUUGACGGUACCUCAUCAGAAAGCCACGGCUAACUACGUG
rnacentral:rRNA from 1 species